rnacentral:piRNA from 1 species
GCUGUCUUAGUCUCCUGAAUUUUGAUGU